GCGGCGCAGCUUACACAUGCAAGUCGAGCGCACUCUUCGGAGUGAGCGGCGGACGGGUUAGUAACGCGUGGGAACGUGCCCUUCUCUAAGGAAUAGCCACUGGAAACGGUGAGUAAUACCUUAUACGCCCUUCGGGGGAAAGAUUUAUCGGAGAAGGAUCGGCCCGCGUUAGAUUAGAUAGUUGGUGGGGUAAUGGCCUACCAAGUCUACGAUCUAUAGCUGGUUUUAGAGGAUGAUCAGCAACACUGGGACUGAGACACGGCCCAGACUCCUACGGGAGGCAGCAGUGGGGAAUCUUGGACAAUGGGCGCAAGCCUGAUCCAGCCAUGCCGCGUGAGUGAUGAAGGCCUUAGGGUCGUAAAGCUCUUUCGCCAGAGAUGAUAAUGACAGUAUCUGGUAAAGAAACCCCGGCUAACUCCGUGCCAGCAGCCGCGGUAAUACGGAGGGGGUUAGCGUUGUUCGGAAUUACUGGGCGUAAAGCGCACGUAGGCGGAUCAGAAAGUAUAGGGUGAAAUCCCAGGGCUCAACCCUGGAACUGCCUUGUAAACUCCUGGUCUUGAGUUCGAGAGAGGUGAGUGGAAUUCCGAGUGUAGAGGUGAAAUUCGUAGAUAUUCGGAGGAACACCAGUGGCGAAGGCGGCUCACUGGCUCGAUACUGACGCUGAGGUGCGAAAGUGUGGGGAGCAAACAGGAUUAGAUACCCUGGUAGUC
rnacentral:rRNA from 1 species